AGUAUGAGAAGGGAGGAUGGGAGGGAGGAGUAACGAAAGUGAAAACAAAAACUUGAAAGUGAAAACAAUUUCAAAUAGAUUUCAAUUUUUAGUUUUUGUUUUCACUUUUGUUACUCCUCCCUCACAUCCUCCCCUCUCAUCUUC
rnacentral:miRNA from 1 species